GACGAACGCUGGCGGCGUGCUUAACACAUGCAAGUCGAACGGUAAGGCCCUUCGGGGUACACGAGUGGCGAACGGGUGAGUAACACGUGGGUGAUCUGCCCUGCACUUCGGGAUAAGCCUGGGAAACUGGGUCUAAUACCGGAUAGGACUCCUGGCUUCAUGGUUGGGGGGGGAAAGCUCUUGCGGUGUGGGAUGGGCCCGCGGCCUAUCAGCUUGUUGGUGGGGUAAUGGCCUACCAAGGCGACGACGGGUAGCCGGCCUGAGAGGGUGACCGGUCACACUGGGACUGAGAUACGGCCCAGACUCCUACGGGAGGCAGCAGUGGGGAAUAUUGCACAAUGGGCGCAAGCCAGAUGCAGCGACGCCGCGUGAGGGAUGACGGCCUUCGGGUUGUAAACCUCUUUCAGCUAUGACGAAGCGCAAGUGACGGUAGUAGCAGAAGAAGGACCGGCCAACUACGUGCCAGCCGCCGCGGUAA
rnacentral:rRNA from 1 species